UCUCCUUUUACAUUGAUAAUUUUGUUGAUUUGCAAAGCAGAAUUCCUGAUAUUUUUCUCUAAAUUUAUUCCUCAUCAAGUCUUGUUACCAAGUUCAAGCUCAUACUGCUCAUUGCACGACAGGCCAAUAAAUUAAGAGAUGAGCUGUUGGGGCAAGGAAUAGCGACUUUAUUUGGAAAGCCAGCAGACCAAGAAGAUGGUAGACUAAUAUCCCAAAGAACCAUCUUCCCCGAGUUAGAAUUCAGGCUUCUUUCACACUAAAAGGGGAGGGAGUAAAGUCCUGGUUCCAGCCAAACUCCGGAGGGGAUGUAUUAAUUUCUUCCUUCAUGCAGCCAUUCCUGGUAGGACUGGCCAGAGUGUUUCCUGUGAGCUAAACAAAGGUAUUUUAGCUUAAUGCUCAUUAUCUGGGAGGCAGGAUUCCUAGAGAUGGGCUAUUAAGUAUAAUUUAAGUUCAUAGGCAACAUCCCUUUAGCGAUUAACUUGUAAUAGAAUACAAAGUUUCUUUCCUGUUAUAGUCUCCCACAUCUACCCAAAUAUGCAAGCAGAAAUCAGAGUCGUUCUUGUUUUCUCCCUCUUCCUUACCCCAACAUCCAAAGCAUCAGCCAGCUUUCUUGACUCUUCCUCCGUAAUGUGUCUCAAAUUGAUCCAUUUUCUCCAUCCUCAUUGCUACCACGUUAGUCUAUAAGCGACUGUCAUCUCUUGCCUUGACUCUUGCAAAAAUGUCCAAACUGGUCUCCCUACUUUUUCUCUUGGCUCUCUAAAAUCUGUCCUCCACACAGGUGAUCUUUUAAAAACCAAAGGUUAUUCUCUCUUCUGAUAAAAAUACUUUGCAUUGCUCUUAAAACAAAAUCCAAACUUCUUACCAUGGUCUACAGCAGACACCAUGGUUUUUCUACUGGGCACCUGUUAUUUCUCUGGGUGCAUAUACUUCUUCUGGGUACCAAGUCUCCUGCCAGGACAUUGGAGCCCUAGAGGUGCCAAAGCACAUAUCUCUCUUAUUUUUGUGUAUGUUUCAUCUGGUUGGUUGAGUGCAAGGGAGGGAACUCUAUGCCCUAACAGCAAACAUCUUUUGAGUGAAACUGUUGUCUAGUUUUGCUUACAUCCUCCUCCUUUCUAUAGGAUUUGGACACAAGUUCACAGAGGAGGGGAGUUUGGGAGACCAGGGGCAUGAGGAGGGCAAGAGGUGACUUUUAAUAACAGCACUGGGACGCACUAGGAACCAUCCGUCUUUCUGAUAGCAAAGACCUUGCUCUUUGAGCCAGCUUGCUUUCCCCAAAUCGUCCUCCCAAGAGGCUUCUCAGCCUCUCAAGCAAAUAGAGCCACCCAAGCCUAUGUCUAGAUAGAUUUAGAUAUAUUUGAACAAUUUAGCUUUACACUGUUCCCCACCACAAUCACCUGCUUUUCAAAAACUCUGUAAUCACUCCAGGCCCUGCCUUUCCCCCCUAAAAUAUCUGCAUACAUGCUCGAGGGACCAAAAGAAAUACACUGUUCUUUCUGUAUGGGGCUUCUUAGUAAAUGCACCUAAAAAAAAUCCUGAAGUUCUAUUCUUAUUUGAGAUGCUUUGUUAAGAGUGAAAACACCUGCUCUCUGGCCUGUGUGAUAGCAGCAAUUCUCUGAGAUUCGGAAAUGAGUUGCUUGCUGGUUAGCUGAGAACCUGAAAUUCACAUCAAUUCAUUCAGCCUUAUGAAAGAAUCUAACCGAGGUAAAAUCAAUUAAUGCAGAUAAUUCAAACAUUCUACCAGCCCACACGUAAUGUUUUGCUAGCUCAUUUCUCCCCAGCGCUGCCAGGAUCACACCCUAUGCAACACAGAUAAUAAACAAAAUCAAAUCGUCGCUCUCAUAUUUGUGGCUUGUUCCUGGAUUUGGUCUCAUGGUUGUUUAUGAGGGAGUCCUAAACUGUGGAAGGAGUAUUUUUCACCCUAUUUCCAGUAACUGUUCUAUUUUUCUCAAUCCUAGAUAGGAUUACUCACAGCAUAGACGCUGCUUGGAACUGGUAAAUUUCUCCCACGGCCUUUUUAAUCUUCAUUUUUCUCCUGUGAACAGUAGGAGAACACACAUAGCUUUCCCGCAGUGGGGUUGCCCUUGGAGAAGACCUUGCAGGCUCUCCACCCUGGAGCCAUGACAUACGCAGCUACUUAGAUGUUUGCAGGUCGCCAGCCCAGGUGAACAGCUCUCAAGUGUGAGAUCAGCAUUGUGAUCAAGAAAGAAUCUCAAUUAUCUAGCCUACUCUGUGCUAAGUGAACAUUUCUGAGAACCUUCAAGAGCCCCAAGAAACAAGUUGCCUCCAUUUUCCAGGCCACGGUCAGAGCUUGAUGGAAAAAGAUGCCUAAUUCAUGCCAGUCGAGUUCUAGAUUCUGAACAGAUGGUUUAACACAAUUUAUUACACUUUAUAUAUUACAUUUAAUUUAUUACACUUAUUCUGAAAGUUUUGGGAGAAAAUUCAGUACCAGCUAGAGAGUCGUAAUUAAAGGAGCACAGAGCCAAGCAGAGGCUCCAAGCCCCUAUUGAAACUUCAGCUCUACCAGAGACAGCACCUUCUUCUGUGACUCUGGGUGAUUCCACAAACCUCUCUGAGCUAUGAUUUCCUAGUUGGUAAAAUCGAAGGACUGGAUCAGCUGAUCUCUAGGUUUUUCUGGGUUCAAAAUUUCUCUGAAUUUAUGGCACUACAUAAUAGCCAGAAGAGAUUCCAUGAAAAAAAUAGACUGUUCCUCUGCGAUAAUGAUUUGGUAGGGAUGGUGGUAAGAAAUUUUGUUUUCAGGAAGGUUGAUAGUAGUAACAUCAUAAAGGGAAGGAAGGAAAAGAAAAAAAGGCUACCAUUUACCAAACUUUUGCUGUGUGCUAAGCAAAUUCACAGACAUUAUCUCAUGUGAAAACACAUAAUUUCGGAGAUUUCCUCUGUAAGGGAGAGAGAUGCCAUUGUUUCUCCUUUCCCCCAAAGUGCAGUGAUAGGUAACAAUGAUGAGUGCUUUCUAUGUGCCAGGCACUCUUCCAAGCCUUUACACCUACUCACACAAUUCAUUAUCCCCAUUUACAGAUGAGAAAACUGAGGCAUAGGUGAUAGUAACUUGUCCAAGGCUAUCCAGUUGGUAAGUGGCAGCGUCAAGCUCCACACUCAGACAGUUGGGCUCUAGAAUCUAUAUUCUUAACCACAUCCCCAUACUGCCUCUUGUCAUUCAUUCAUUAAGCAAAUAUUUGAUGAGCAUUGACUACAUGAAGGCAUUGAAUUAAUCUUUCUUAAGGAUUCCAAGCUAAAUGAGACAACAUCCUUGUCCUUGAGAAGCUUAAAAUAUACAUGGUAGAUGUUCAGAAAUGUGUGUGCAAUCAGUGACCACACUUAAUCCGAGAACUUUACAACUAUCCCCUGUUUUCUGGAAGUGUUUGCAAUUCCAUUCACAUCAGUGGACAGUACCUGGCAAGAGGGAGCCCUGCUCCAGGCCCCUGUUCUAGAGGCCCUACUCUGGUUUUCUCUAGGGGCCAGGAAUCCAGGGGCCAUGGGCUGCAUCCACCUGGAGUCUGGGCCUCAGCUCCUUCUAACCUCCCUUCUGGGUAUCCGGGACCUUGCAAUUCCCUGCCCCAAAGGCCCUGACCCUACUUCCAGAGCCUGCAUUGGAAGCAAGCCCCUUGAGGGCACAUUGCAUCCCCCAGCCACAGACUCCUCAGCCAGCGGGGUGGCCAAAGGCAGCGAUUUGUAGGAGGAGAGCGUAGAUGGAACGUGGACUUGUGGGUUUACAGCGACGUGUGUCCACAAGGACUCUUGCAGAUCAGGACUGACUUGGGGGCAGGGAGAGGAGUCACAGACUGGGUCAGCUUGGCCUGCUCUGCCAUGUUCAGCGCAGAACUUCAAAGACUCCGAAAAUUCUACUUUAGAACCUGGCCUUUCAGGUCGUUAUGAAGAUAACUUGUCGAGAUAAGAGGAUAGAACAUAUUUUUCCUAAGUGUGCUAACUUGGUUGAUAAACCUUUAAAAAGUAGGUAUGUGGUAUGAGGGUUUCCAUUUAUACUUUUACUCGGGCCCCUUAGCCUGUCCACAGGUUUUGAAUGGGCAGUUGUCUGAUCUCAGCACUUUUUAGGGGUCCUUCUACAUGGGGUUUCAAAGUCCUGCUGCUGCUGUGUCUACCGUCAACCCCCUCUCCUCCCAACCGGCUACCUAAGGGCCCUACAGUAGAAGCUUCUUGGCCACCGUGGAGCCUCACCUCGUCCUCCUCCCCCAUCAGCUCCCUCCCACACAGUGGGUUCCAUGUGCCACUAUUUCAGCCACUUCCUGGUCCCUCUGUCCUUGCACAUUACCUCUUCCCAGGCUUGGCUGAACCCUCACUCAUCUGGAACUCGCACCCGGGUAGCUGAACUCUGCUGAGGAAUCUCCACAAUCAGCAGCCUCAACUGGGCUGAGGACUGCCCCCCAAAACUUACAGCUCAGUCUUUCAGUCUCUGUAAUAAUGAUGGAAUCCUUCUCUAUUUUUCUCAGUCUCUGAAAUCCUCUUCCACCCACUCUCAGUGGCUAACCUUGCUUCUUACUUCACAGAGAAGAUAAACCCCAUCCCUUUGGAGAACGCUCAACAUCCUAGUUCCAAAUCUGAAAUCCUCCCAGCCCUCCUCCUGCACUCCUGUUACAAUAGUGCAGAUAGAGGUGCCCUCCUCCCACGGGGGCAAUCCCAUCGCACUUCUGUGGCUCUCCCCCUCCUACCCCCAGGUUUCAGUAUCCUCACCUCCUCCUCUAGCCCUAAACACGCUCUAGUUUCUUCAAUUAAAAAAAGAAUUCUAAUGCGGACUUUCCCUUCAGCUGCUACAUUGCUGUCUCGUCCCUCGCCACUCCUUUACUCUUGAACCCACUUCAAUUUGGCCUCCACUGCCAACAUUCCACUGAACUUGACCUCCCUGAUGUUAGAUCCCACGGUCCGCUUCUCGGUCUCCGUGUGAUGCAAUCUGCCUUUUGUAGAUGCACAGUCAGAACUCUCUCCUCUCUCAAGAUCGUUGACGUGCCACGCUCCUCUACGAUUUCCCCUCUAUGGCCUUUGCUGGCUCUUUCCCUCCACUCACCCUCCAAAUGUUGAACAUCCUCCGUGCUCACUACCAGACUUCUCUUCCCAUGCUACCUCCCUAGGAUCUCACUGACUCCUAUGGUCCCAGCCUGGACCUCUCUUCUGGACUCCAGCUUUGUAUUUAUCUAACUGCCAACUUGACAUCUUCCUACACAUGUCACCUGGGCAGCUCAAAGUCAACGAGAUCACAAUUUCACUGCACCUGCUCCCUAAUCUGACUCUGAUGAUCCCCAUUCCUGCCUCUUUUCACACUCACCACUCCAGCUUAGCCUCCUCCCAGAGCCUCAGGAAGCUGGGUUGGCAGAGUACCUUCCUGAGGUGUUAAUCCACAUGGGCACUGAAACAUUGCUGGAAUCGAUCAGAAACAUGAUGCCGGUUCACGCAGUUUUCCAUUCCUGUCUUCGGUCACUGGCAAAAUGUCAAUUGGCCCUAUUCCCAAUUGGUACCUAUGUUAGAUACCUUAUUUAGAAGCUGAAUAUGUGACAAGAAAAAAUGAUUGUUAUUUAUGAUCCUCCACUGCCUGGUAAUGGAGGAUCUUUCAAAGCUGAGUGUGGACAACAUCUUCGUCCUUCAAGUCUUUGAUACGCCUGAAGAAAGCGUUAAGCUGUGGUUGAAAUAUCAAACGAGGAGUCAGAUGCUGGGACAGAGGUAAGUUGCUUCUCAUAAGAAAGGGAGCAAGACGGGGGACAGGAGAGAUUGAGCUGCAAGGGGUUGGGGGCGGGAGGCAGGGGCUGGGGAGGUUGAACACUAGAAAACAAGAACAGGGAAGGCCAAGCUAUUUGGGGCGAGAGACAUUUCUUCAGGUAGAUUUCAUAUGCUGAUGCCUCCUAAAUUAAUUUUCUAGCUGAGACCUCUCUCCUGAGUUCUAGACUUAGAGCCAUGUGAUAAGGAGAACUAGCACUUAUAAAGCCACUUGUACUAUUCUGGCAACUGAGCUAAGUGCUUUACCUAUGUGAACUCAUGUCUCAGAGGCAUUGCAAAUUCAACCAAAACAGUAUUCCUCAUCUACCUGCCAUUUCCAGACCUCUCCAUGCAGAUAACAAUACUAGUUUGCCUCUAGGAUUCCUCUUCUCAGUAACUGGCAAUCCUAUCCACCCAACUCCUCGCAUCCUCCCACAUCAUCGUCUCUCCCUGCGAGCCUCCUAAUGCUCUCCCAGGACCCAGUCUGGCCUCUCUGCCGCCCGUUCUCCACCCACCUCCAGAGUGACAGUUCACUAAAGCAGAUCUGAUGCUGGCAGUGCGUGGCUUCAAGCUUACCAGUGUUUCCCAUUGCUUUUAGGAUGAAGUCUAAAUCCCUUCCUAUACUCCUUUCCAUGCCUGGGCUGGCCCAGACUACUCCUGCAACUCCUCUCAUGCUCAUCUCAUUUCCGUUGCUCACAAUGCUCUGGCAGCUGAAACAAGGUGGAGAAGACCUGCUGGGGCGUCUUAAAAGGAGAAGCAAAGCCUGCAGAGGAAUGGCCAGCCUGGGCCCUGGGGUUUGGCAGGCUCUGGGCUCAGCGUGAGGAGGAGGAGCCCCUGAUCUUGGCUCAGUGAGUCUUUGCUCACUUCUGCAUUAUGGAUCCUGAUUAGUACCUGCCGGAGGGACGUCUAGCAGCUCUGUGCUAAACUAGAUCUUCUUUAGUCCACAUUACUCAUUCCUACUAUGUGCCAGGAAUGCCCUGGACUUAGCCUACCUACUAGAUGCUACAUACUGAGUGCUAUAGACCCUGUAACCUAGUCUACAUUCUAUCCAUUAUAUAGGAUAUAAUGAAUACUAUACCUAUAUUCUGUAUACUUUAUAAGAUAUAAUAACAGUACACAUUACAGUAUAUAUACAAUUGGUAAUAAACAAAAUGUAUUAGAUGGGUAUUAUAUCUACUAGCAGUGUUUUGCCAUAAUAGGUAUUUAGUAAAUAUAUGUUGAAUGAGGGAACAUACCUCAACAUAAUAAAGGCCAUAUAUGACAAACCCACAGCUAGUAUCAUACUCAGUGGUGAAAAGUUG